rnacentral:rRNA from 1 species
UGUCCUACGGGGGGCAGCAGUGAGGAAUAUUGGUCAAUGGCCGAGAGGCUGAACCAGCCAAGUCGCGUGAGGGAUGACAGCCCUACGGGUUGUAAACCUCUUUUGUCGGGGAGCAAGACCCGCCACGAGUGGCGGAGCGAGAGUACCCGAAGAAAAAGCAUCGGCUAACUCCGUGCCAGCAGCCGCGGUAAUACGGAGGAUGCGAGCGUUAUCCGGAUUUAUUGGGUUUAAAGGGUGCGCAGGCGGACCAUCAAGUCAGCGGUAAAAUCGUG